rnacentral:rRNA from 1 species
CCUACGGGUGGCUGCAGUGGGGAAUAUUGCACAAUGGGGGAAACCCUGAUGCAGCGACGCCGCGUGAGGGAAGAAGGAUUUCGGUAUGUAAAGCUCUAUCAGAAGGGAAGAAAAUGACGGUACCUGAUUAAGAAGCCACGGACAACUACGUGCCAGCAGCCGCGGGAAUACGGCGGGGGCAAGCGUUAUCCGGAUUUACUGGGUGUAAAGGGUGCGUAGGCGGGAGAACAAGUCUGGUGUGAAAUGCCGGGGCUGAACACCGGAAGAGCGUUGGAAACUGUGCAGCUGGAUGGCAGGUGAGGUAGGUGGAAUGCCUGGUGUAGCGGUGAAAUGCGUAGAUAUUAGGAGGAAUACCAGUGGCGAAGGCGGCUUACUGGACUGUAACUGACGUGGAGGCUCGAAAGCGUGGGGAGCAAACAGGAUUAGAUACCCGGGUAGUC